CGCCGGGCACGCGACUGGCGAUAGGCACACCCCCUCUUGAAGGUAUUUGUGCUGACGUGGAACACCACUGGGAAGCGUGCCGCCUGCGGGAUUUCUUGAGCAGGCGUUCAGCCGUUCGCCUGGGCAGCCCUU
rnacentral:ncRNA from 2 species